rnacentral:rRNA from 1 species
CACGUAGGGUGCGAGCGUUGUCCGGAAUUAUUGGGCGUAAAGAGCUCGUAGGCGGUGUGUCGCGUCGGCCGUGAAAACCUGCAGCUUAACUGUGGGCUUGCGGUCGGUACGGGCAUCACUGGAGUUCGGCAGGGGAGACUGGAAUUCCUGGUGUAGCGGUGAAAUGCGCAGAUAUCAGGAGGAACACCGGUGGCGAAGGCGGGUCUCUGGGCCGAUACUGACGCUGAGGAGCGAAAGCGUGGGGAGCAAACAGG